UUACAAUGGAGAGUUUGAUCCUGGCUCAGGAUGAACGCUAGCGGCAGGCUUAAUACAUGCAAGUCGAGGGGCAGCAGGAUAGCAAUAUCGCUGGCGACCGGCGCACGGGUGCGUAACACGUAUACAAUCUGCCUUUAACAGGGGGAUAGCCCGAAGAAAUUCGGAUUAAUACCCCAUAACAGAAGAUUCGGCAUCGAAUUUUUUUGAAAGCUCCGGCGGUUAAAGAUGAGUAUGCGUCUGAUUAGCUAGUUGGUGAGGUAACGGCUCACCAAGGCGACGAUCAGUAGGGGAUCUGAGAGGAUUAACCCCCACACGGAUACUGAGACACGGAUCCGACUCCUACGGGAGGCAGCAGUAAGGAAUAUUGGACAAUGCCCGCAAGGGUGAUCCAGCCAUGCCGCGUGCAGGAAGACGGCCCUAUGGGUUGUAAACUGCUUUUACACCGGAGAAAACCUAUCCUCGUGAGGAUAGCUGAUAGUAUGGUGAGAAUAAGCAUCGGCUAACUUCGUGCCAGCAGCCGCGGUAAGACGAAGGAUGCAAGCGUUAUCCGGAUUCAUUGGGUUUAAAGGGAGCGUAGGUGGACUGAUAAGUCAGUGGUGAAAUCUCCGAGCUUAACUCGGAAAUUGCCAUUGAUACUGUUGGUCUUGAGUAUAGUUGCCGUUGGCGGAAUAUGACAUGUAGUGGUGAAAUACAUAGAGAUGUCAUAGAACACCGAUUGCGAAGGCAGCUGACGAAACUAUAACUGACACUGAGGCUCGAAAGUGUGGGGAUCAAACAGGAUUAGAUACCCUGGUAGUCCACACUGUAAACGAUGAUUACUCGCUGCUAGGGGGCAACCUUUAGUGGCUUAGCGAAAGCGAUAAGUAAUCCACCUGGGGAGUACGCCGGCAACGGUGAAACUCAAAGGAAUUGACGGGGGCCCGCACAAGCGGAGGAGCAUGUGGUUUAAUUCGAUGAUACGCGAGGAACCUUACCAGGGCUUGAAAGUUAGGGAAUAACUCUGAAAGGAGUUAGUCAGCAAUGACCCGAAACUAGGUGCUGCAUGGCUGUCGUCAGCUCGUGCCGUGAGGUGUUGGGUUAAGUCCCGCAACGAGCGCAACCCCUACCAUUAGUUGCCAGCGGUUCGGCCGGGGACUCUAGUGGAACUGCCCGCGCAAGCGGUGAGGAAGGUGGGGAUGACGUCAAGUCAUCACGGCCCUUACGUCCUGGGCUACACACGUGCUACAAUGGCUAUUACAGAGGGCAGCUACAUGGCAACAUGAUGCAAAUCUUCAAAAAUAGUCUCAGUUCGGAUUGGGGUCUGCAACUCGACCCCAUGAAGCUGGAUUCGCUAGUAAUCGCGCAUCAGCAAUGGCGCGGUGAAUACGUUCCCGGGCCUUGUACACACCGCCCGUCAAGCCAUGAAAGCUGGGAGUAUUUAAAGUCGGUAGCCGUAAGGCGCCGCCUAGAGUAAAACCGGUGAUUGGGGCUAAGUCGUAACAAGGUAGCCGUACCGGAAGGUGCGGCUGGAACACCUCCUUUCUGGAGC
rnacentral:rRNA from 1 species